UAAUGCCUGAGUCAAAAGGGCUAACCCCACAUGAACUUGCUCAUAAGUGGGUGAAAGACCUUAGGACCCGCGCCAAUAUGAGCAAAAAGCGGGAAGACUAUCCCACGAUAUGCGAAUAUUGGGUAGAAUCAAAGUUGGGGUGCCCCUGAAAUUAUAUAAAGUACUA
rnacentral:sRNA from 1 species